rnacentral:rRNA from 1 species
AUACGUAGGGAGCAAGCGUUGUCCGGAUUUACUGGGUGUAAAGGGUGCGUAGGCGGCUCUUCAAGUCAGGCGUGAAAUAUAUGGGCUUAACCCAUAGACUGCGUUUGAAACUGUGGAGCUUGAGUGAAGUAGAGGUAGGCGGAAUUCCCGGUGUAGCGGUGAAAUGCGUAGAGAUCGGGAGGAACACCAGUGGCGAAGGCGGCCUACUGGGCUUUAACUGACGCUGAGGCACGAAAGCAUGGGUAGCAAACAGGAUUAGAUACCCUGGUAGUCCAUGCCGUAAACGAUGAUUACUAGGUGUGGGGGGUCUGACCCCUUCCGUGCCGGAGUUAACACAAUAAGUAAUCCACCUGGGGAGUACGGCCGCAAGGUUGAA